CCCACCCACCUAACGCGAAAGAGAGACCGCUUGGACGCGAGAAGCUUCACCAGGAGUCGGGAAAGAUGCGGAGGGCGGCAGGCGUCGCGACCCCCACCCACUGUGAGGAGAGCAAACCACGAAAAGAUGAUGGCGUGAAGGACCGUAAUUAGCAAUCUCUCUCCAGAGAUGACAUUUGAUCUGAGGCCUGAAUGACCACAGGGGCCAGGAGCCAAGAGAAGAUCUGGGGCGGAGCCUUCCAGGCAGAGGAAACAGCUAAAGCAGAGGCCUGAGGUGGGAAUGAGACCUGCAGAUCAUUUACUCUGAAGGAAGCCAACUGCCCUAUGGUGAGGACACAAAGCAGUCCGAUGGAAG